GAAAUAGAAAAUCAAGAAUAAGCUUCUAACUUAAUUCUCAAGCGAUGAAAUUUCGUUUAUAUUUCU
rnacentral:tRNA from 1 species